rnacentral:rRNA from 1 species
GACGGAGGGGGCUAGCGUUGUUCGGAUUUACUGGGCGUAAAGAGCACGUAGGCGGAUUAGUAAGUUGGAAGUGAAAGCCCGGGGCUUAACCUCGGAACUGCUUUCAAAACUGCUAGUCUAGAGUGUAGUAGAGGAUGAUGGAAUUCCUAGUGUAGAGGUGAAAUUCUUAGAUAUUAGGAGGAACACCAGUGGCGAAGGCGGUCAUCUGGGCUACAACUGACGCUGAGGUGCGAAAGCGUGGGGAGCAAACAGG